UAACGCGUGAGAAUCUGCCUUCAGGACGGGGACAACAGUUGGAAACGACUGCUAACACCCGAUGUGCCGAGAGGUGAAAUAUUUAUAGCCUGAAGAUGAGCUCGCGUCUGAUUAGCUAGUUGGUUGGGUAAUAGCCGACCAAGGCAUCGAUCAGUAACUGGUCUGAGAGGAUGACCAGUCACACUGGGACUGAGACACGGCCCAG
rnacentral:rRNA from 1 species